CUACGGGUCGCUCCAGUGAGGAAUAUUGCACAAUGGGAGGAACCCUGAUGUAGCAACGCCGCGUGGAGGAUGACGCAUUUCGGUGUGUAAACUCCUUUUAUAUGUCAAGAAAAUGACGGUAGCAUAUGAAUAAGCACCCGCUAACUCCGUGCCAGCAGCCGCGGUAAUACGGAGGGUGCAAGCGUUACUCGGAAUCACUGGGCGUAAAGGACGCGUAGGCGGGUUGGAAAGUCAGGUGUGAAAUCCUACAGCUUAACUGUAGAACUGCACUUGAAACUUCUAAUCUAGAGUAUGGGAGGGGGAGAUGGAAUUAGUGGUGUAGGGGUAAAAUCCGUAGAUAUCACUAGGAAUACCUAAAGCGAAGGCGAUCUCCUGGAACAUUACUGACGCUAAGGCGUGAAAGCGUGGGGAGCAAACAGGAUUAGAUACCCCGGUAGUC
rnacentral:rRNA from 1 species